GAUGAACGCUGGCGGCGUGCUUAACACAUGCAAGUCGAACGGAAAGGCCCAAGCUUGCUUGGGUACUCGAGUGGCGAACGGGUGAGUAACACGUGGGUGAUCUUCCCUUCACUUCUGGAUAAACCUGGGAAACUCGGUCUCAUACCGGAUAUGACCACGUCUUGGAUGUUGUUGUGGAAAGUUUUUUCGUUGUGGUAUGAGCUCGCGGCCUAUCCGCUUGUUUGUGGGGUAAGGGCCUACCAAGGCGUCGACGGGUAGCCGGCCUGAGAGGGUGUACGGGCAAAAUGGGAACGAGAGAAGGGCCAGACUUCCACGGGGGGGAGGAGGGGGGAAAAAUUGACAAAGGGGGGAAGCCUGAAGGAGGGACGCCGGGGGGGGGAAGAAGGCCUUCGGGGUGGAAAAUCCUUUCGCUAAGGAGGAAGGGUUUUGGUGACGGUACCUGGAGAAGAAGCACCGGCUAACUACGUG
rnacentral:rRNA from 1 species